CACCUCUCAGGGUUGCACCUGGAGAGUUUCCAGUACUCUACCGGUCUCGACUAUGGGAGGGAGAGUCAGGCAGAGGCAUUAACCAUUCCAUUCCUAGCUUGGCCAGUGGCUAGUGAGUGGAAGGCCAUCUGCUACAAGU